ACCUGGGCAUGGGAGGGCCCGGAAAGCUCAGGACCACACAAACACGCCUGGGACCCUGGAGCUCCUGCCGGUGACGAGCCACAUGGCCCAGGGUCUGGGGGGCUUUGCUCCCUGGGGGCGGGGCAGGGGUCUCACUUCUUGGCUGCUGGAUAUACGGAAAGCUUGACAUCUCCUCAGCCCUAGGAGCACAACCUCUCUGCGGAGUAGUGUCCCCUUAGGACUCCCUUUAAUGUGUCCAGUAGACACGACUCCCUCGGGGCUCAUGAGCCUGACCAGGGGGACUCACCACCUGCGCCCGCAAGCCAUGUUCCAUCGGAUGUCUGAAGCUGCCAAGGUCUGAUCCCUCCCAUGGCGCCAGCAACCAUGCCAAGUGGCUAAGGCCACUGGAGGCUGGAAAGUCCCUGCCGGCCCAGGGGGAUUGGAGGGAAGAAGAGGAGGCUGGACUCACUCGGAAGGCCCAACGCCAGUUCCCAGUCAGCUGCAACACGGCCGACCCCAGCACGUAGCCCAGACCGCUGCGAUAGAGGGGCAAGGAGGGCAGGCAGUGAGGGUGGGGGGCAGGUACGAGCCGGCAAGGCCAGCCUAAGCUGGGGCCCCCACCCAAGACGCUGCUGCUGUUCACAGCCCUGCACGGGAAACGUGAGCCACGUGAGGCCCAGGUGUCCGCUGCCCUUGGUCAAGUCACUGGUGACCUCUGGCUCCAGGCCCAUCCCCUGCACCACUGCCCAAUGCGGCCCUAUCUGAAGACCCAGGGCUCAGCCCUGCCUGAGUCAGGCGAUUCCAGGAAACCCGGAUUAGAGCUCAGAGGUCAGAUUGCAAAUCCCACUCUGACCUACACAAACCUGCCCCCACCCUCACUGCCCCAGGGGUGCCUGGCCCAGGCCCACACACGCCCCAAGUGGGCCUUCCCCAGUGUCCUAGGGUAGAGGGAACACCUGUAUUAUCUCUAACCCUUAAGACAGCCCAUCGGCCUGUGUCCUCGCCCCCUUUACAGAUGAGGAAACUGAGGCCCAGAGAAGUAAAGGGACAGGACAAGGAAGGGGGAGGGCUGGGAUGCAAAUUCCAUCCCUAGUCCAGUUUCUGUCCUGGCUCCUGUGGGCCUCAGUUUACCACCUAGGGAAGUGGGUCCUGGGUGGUACCAACCUUCCAACAGGAAUAAAGAUGUAGAAGAUGGCCAGCACCCGAGUCCGCUGAUCCCUCACAAAGAGGUCGCCCAGGACGGUGGGCGCAAUGGUGGAGAAGCUGGCCGAGCCUAUGCCCACGACCCCCCGGGACAGGAAGAAGAGCCAGGAAUACUGGGCAAGGAAACACAAGACCCCAGCCAGUUCCAGUGGACAGUAGCGGUCACCCGCACACGCCCCCAGCAGGCAGCAGCCGGUCGUGCAGGAGAGGAAGGCUCCCAUGGACAGCAUCUAAGGGGGUCCUCCCUAGGCCCUGGAGGGCGCCCCUGCCGCCAGCCUGGAGCCCGGAAUGGACGGAGGCCAGCGCAUCCGCCUUUCCAAGGGAGAAACCAGGCGGGGGUAGGUCCCCAGUGGCCUGGCAGGGGUGUGGGCACCUACCUGGGG